AUUUAUUUAAUAUAUUAAGUAUAUUUGAUUUCCAAUCAAAAGGUCUAUCCCUAUAGAAUAAAUA
rnacentral:tRNA from 1 species